GACGAACGCUGGCGGCGUGCCUAAUACAUGCAAGUAGAACGCUGAAGAGAGGAGCUUGCUCUUCUUGGAUGAGUUGCGAACGGGUGAGUAACGCGUAGGUAACCUGCCUUGUAGCGGGGGAUAACUAUUGGAAACGAUAGCUAAUACCGCAUAACAAUGGAUGACACAUGUCAUUUAUUUGAAAGGGGCAAUUGCUCCACUACAAGAUGGACCUGCGUUGUAUUAGCUAGUAGGUGAGGUAAUGGCUCACCUAGGCGACGAUACAUAGCCGACCUGAGAGGAUGAUCGGCCACACUGGGACUGAGACACGGCCCAGACUCCUACGGGAGGCAGCAGUAGGGAAUCUUCGGCAAUGGGGGCAACCCUGACCGAGCAACGCCGCGGGAGUGAAGAAGGUUUUCGGAUCGUAAAGCUCUGUUGUAAGUCAAGAACGGGUGUGAGAGUGGAAAGUUCACACUGUGACGGUAGCUUACCAGAAAGGGACGGCUAACUACGUG
rnacentral:rRNA from 1 species